UUCUCCUCCCUCUUCCUUUCACUGACUGCGCUCCAUCUCUGCGUUCAAUCACUUUUUUAUACUAAGGGCGUCGUGACAUUCAGUGACUGCUGUGGCCCAUCCGUCGUUCAUUAUCUUAGUAAUUGCUGGAAAGCUGCAGGAUAGUGAAGCAGCACAGAGCUGACCUUAUAAAGCCUUUUCCCAACUAGACCAUACUUCCGUCUUACAAUCCAUGGAAGCCAAGGCCAAAGCUGCCCCUGUGCCCAAGGGGCCAUCAAAAGCUGAGAAAAAGGAGCCAGCGGCCCCACGUAAAGCCGAACCUGCCCCUGCAACCCCAGAGCCAGAGAUUCCUCCUCCCCAGGAGGGGUCGGCAGAAGGUGACGCAGGUGAUGGGGCUGCGGGCAGCUGCACAGACUCUCUGGAGCACCUGAAACCAUUCCUCAUUGGUGGUGCUGUAAUUGCAGUUGGAGCCAUUUUGCUGGGAGCCUUGCUACUGGCAAGGAGAAAUUAAAAUCUCAAUCUCAAAGAAUUAACUCAAUGUAAAAUUGGUUCACAAAUAUUCAUGGGUGAUAUUGAAAAGAGGAGGAAUUUUGUUUUCUUUUUGGCUAGCAAAAAACCCAAAGCAAAUGUACACAAUUUUAUUAUGAAUAAAAUAUGCAUGAUUUUUUAAUUAAAAAUUUAAGACACCAUACAGUAGUCCUGAGCGUACAGGAUGUAUGUCUCUGAGGUGGCUUUAAAAUCUGCUUUAUAUUGUUUGCUCAAAGGUUGACUAAAACACAAUAUUUGCAUUACAUUUACAAAGAGCUCCAGAAAAUCUAUACUCCUAAAUCAGAAAGUAUUAUGAUUCAAUCAUGGCAGAUUCUAUGAUUAAUUUGACUUUAUCUUACAUUUAAAAAAAAGCAGGUAUGAUAAAAAUGUAGUAUUGUAUGAUCAUCUGAUAAAUGAUUAAGAGAUUUGGCAUGCUGAGGUUCUCGAAUGGCCUGCGCAGGAAUAUUUGCGUUAUCGUGAAUUUGCUGGAUUAGUGUUGGAAGGUUAGGAUGCAGAAUAGGAAUUAUUUUUAUGUUACUGUCAAAUGAUGUCACAAAUCAAUAGCCUAUUAUGUAUAACAAAACAUCUGCAAAUGUUCAACAUCAAUAUGUUCACUUCUUAUCGUAAAUACUUUGUUGUAGACCAGCAUACCAGUCAUUAGUGGUCCGAUAUCAAGUUCAGUUGCUGCCGUUGUAUCGAGCUUCAUUACACUGUGCUUUUCUCCCUAUGUAUUCCAUCAAGAACAACCCUUGUUUUCACUACCUUAUUAAUAACUAAGUAUACAUAGGUACUGUACAUUUAGAGUGCUAUUGUAAUGGAGGUGGAUUAGUCAAGCAGUCAUUUCACGUCAGCAUGCACUGCAACCUUGCAUGUAUUCCCAACAUUGAGCGCACAGAAAACAAUUUGCUCUGGUUGCAAGUAAACAUGUUUGCAAAACUUUCGUCAUAAUUAAUGUUGUUCGUUUGUACAUUGACACAUUCUACAUCCAUAAUACAUCCUGAAAAUAUGCCAAAACUAGAAGUAAUGUCACCUGACAUUGUACAAAUCAGAGUACCAAAAACAUUCUUCAUUUAUUAACUUAAUGACAGCAGCGUAUGAAUGCAAUAAUUCAGAUAGGAUUCCUCAGUUAGCACACGAUGUUGUGCUGUAGCAAGUUAUUUCACAUAAAUAAUGACAUAAAAACUAGUGAUGGUCAAGUGAUGUUCAAUGAAAUGAAAAUGAUGUUAGCAGUGAUAGAAAGUACUGUGCGUAUUUAUUGGCGACUGUAACUAUAAUGAUGGUGAUGAUAUAUUUUUUGAUAUAUAAAAAAAUCUUGGGUACUACCCUUUCCCCUAAUAUAUACAAAGAAUGUGGUUGUGAUGCAACCUUUAUUAAAGGCAGUGAAUCAACACUAAA